CUGUGGAAUUCCUAUGGAGUUGUUGCUGGCCUCUAGGGGCAUGUGCACGCUUCACUAGUCUUUCAACCACCUGUGAACUUUUGAUAGAUCUGUGAAGUCGUCCUUCAAGUCGUCAGACUUGGUUUGCUGGGAUUUAAACGUCUCGGUGUGACAACGCAGUCUAUUUACUUAACACACCCCAAAUGUAUGUCUACGAAUGUCAUUUAAUGGGCCUUGUGCCUAUAAACCAUAAUACAACUUUCAACAACGGAUCUCUUGGCUCUCGCAUCGAUGAAGAACGCAGCGAAAUGCGAUAAGUAAUGUGAAUUGCAGAAUUCAGUGAAUCAUCGAAUCUUUGAACGCACCUUGCGCCCCUUGGUAUUCCGAGGGGCAUGCCUGUUUGAGUGUCAUUAAAUUCUCAAACUCACAUUUAUUUGUGAUGUUUGGAUUGUUGGGGGUUGCUGGCUGUAACAAGUCGGCUCCUCUUAAAUGCAUUAGCAGGACUUCUCAUUGCCUCUGCGCAUGAUGUGAUAAUUAUCACUCAUCAAUAGCACGCAUGAAUAGAGUCCAGCUCUCUAAUCGUCCGCAAGGACAAUUUGACAAUUUGACCUCAAAUCAGGUAGGACUACCCGCUGAACUUAAGCAUACAAGAUGCGACAGAA
rnacentral:rRNA from 1 species